GUGACCAUAGCUCAGCUGGUAGAGUCCUGGAUUGUGAUUCCAGAUGUCAUGGGUUCAAAUCCCAUUGGUCACC
rnacentral:tRNA from 1 species